ensembl:lncRNA
GUACGGCCAAAGGGUAUAUACCAGUCUACAAGACUACUCUGAAUCUGGCUUUGGGCUUUUCCUUUAAAAAUCUGACAUUCAAAAGCAGUGAGGCAAAAUAGUCUCCGUUCAACUUGAUGACUCAGCAAGGGCAACUUUCAUCACCACUUUCAUCACCACGUACGAGCUGGACACUCAGAUCUGGAAAGAGAUUUCAGUUACAAGUUCACUAGGCAUGCUCCAAAGAUACGAGGCUGUGCCUUGCAUAAUGUUUUUGCAACCUGGAGGGACAGAGGAGAGAAGGACUUGGCUCAGAAAGGCUUGGGGCAGACUCUUAUUUGUCCACUGAGGGAGAAAAACAGAGAGAGAAUGAGUGACACUGGAACAUCGGCACUGGAUGAAUCGAAGGCAACUGGACCAGUAAUUUAUUACAAAGACAGGUGCUGGAGACAGCAGAGAAGAAGCAAACAAGAAAGCAAGAAAGCAAGAUGGAGAGAUGGACAUGCUUAACUACAAGAUACAAUUUGCCUGGACUACAAUUUAUUUGCACACCAGAUGUCUGUAUGGUUCAGGCUGACAGCACUGCAAAGGGUGGGAAGUUUAACGCUGCCCAGAGCCAAAUAAAAGGGAAAUAAAUAAAACAAAAACAAGACUGACUUUACAGUGUAUUUCCUCUCAACCCGCUUCACCAGUAAAACCUGGGUCUUUCCAGUGAGCAACACACCAUACACUAACACUUUCCCCUGCAAACGUGUGUUUGGAGUCUUCCUCCCAGCUUGAUCAGACCAACUAAAAAACUGAUUCUAAUUCAGUAGGCCGAGGGAGUUGUAAAAUGCACCUCUCUAAUUAGUGUAUCAGUUUGAGAGUGAAGGACUUGAGUGAAGAAAUGUAAUGAUGUCAGUUCUAUGAUAUUUGAAUAGGCUUAUUUGCAUUCCUCACCUUAUAUAUUUUUUUCUUUUUCUACCCAUCUUCCUUUCUUCACCUCUCUCCCUUCCCCAGCUAUCACUGUUUCUUUCUUGCUUCUUGCCAAGUCCAUCACAUACCUGGGGUCAACUAGACAGUUCUGCAGAUGGGUUGACAAUACUACAAAACAGUCAAUAUGAGAUGUUCCUGUCUGGCGUACAGAUGGGAGACUCAUAAACACUUGAUACACCCAGUCCCCCAUUACUGGUUUAACAGUUUUUUAUUGGAAAGCCAAAAACUUCCCCAGGCAGUGCAAGUAGUUGCCAUAUGUUCAGAAUACUAAUAGAGCCUCUAAAAAUUCACGUGUUUUUAUGCUAGAAGAAAAAGUGAGAUUCUUUUCUUCCUCGUAUGCUUUCAGUGGUUGAGAAACAAUUCAACUAUAUGGGCUGUUCUGUGGGUAUUGGCAGGCUUUGCCAAUUGGAUGUGUGUGGGUGUGAAUGAUGCUUUUUGUCUUAAGUCAUUCAUAUUGAUUGCAUUCAGAACAUUCUGCGUCAGUAUCUUCUGGCCCUGAUGAUACCUCAUCACAACUCCUCAGAGGCACCACCACUUAAUAUGCCUGAGUCAGAGCACAGACUAAGCGGUGGAAAAAGGCUACUUCGUACCUCCAGAGUUUUGCUCAGCCCUGCACAGAGCAAUGGACUUAUUUGAAGCUUGACUGUCUUCAAAUGAGAGAUAAUUAGGAGCCUCCUUUUCCCAGUAUGAUUCCAAGUGUGAGCUUAGGGCAUCUACCUCUGCAUAAAGAGAAAAUCACAGGGCAAUUCUUCCAUGUGUGGGGCCUAAAAGUGUUCUAAUAUCCCACUGGAAUAAUCAAUCUUCUUUAAUUCCUUUGGCUAACCAGAAAUGGAGACCGUCAAACAACUACAGGUGCUUUAGGGAGCAGGGAACAUGAUAAAAUAACCCUUAAUCUUUAUUUUUUCAUUAAG